rnacentral:rRNA from 1 species
GAUGAACGCUAGCUACAGGCUUAACACAUGCAAGUCGAGGGGCAGCACAGUGUAGCAAUACAUGGGUGGCGACCGGCGCACGGGUGCGUAACGCGUAUCCAACCUUCCCGAUACUCAGGGAGUAGCCUUCCGAAAGGGAGAUUAAUACCUGAUGGUGUUCAAAUUCCGCAUGUUAUUUGAACUAAAGAUUUAUCGGUAUCGGAUGGGGAUGCGUGACAUUAGAUAGUAGGCGGGGUAACGGCCCACCUAGUCUACGAUGUCUAGGGGUUCGUGAGAGGAAGGUCCCCCACACUGGAACUGAGACACGGUCCAGACUCCUACGGGAGGCAGCAGUGAGGAAUAUUGGUCAAUGGUCGGAAGACUGAACCAGCCAAGUAGCGUGAAGGAUGAAGGUU